CUAACUUGGCCUAGCCUUUAACUUGCUAAUUUUUCUUUUUGAGUACUAGCACAAAAGAGAAAGAGAGAGAAAAAAGUACUCUCCCCAAAUCCUCCUCAGAUCUCUCCAUUUCUUUCUGUCUUUCUUUCUCUGUCCAUAUUUUCAAGAACCCAAUUUGCAGUUUUCCGUAUAUCAUCAUCAAGAAUUGUUUCAUUCCUCUUACAAUGAGAGAUAUAGUUUCUUG
rnacentral:misc_RNA from 1 species